GGGCCCAUGGUCUAGUGGUUAUGACAACACCCUUACAAGGUGUGGAUCCCCGGUUCGAACAGGCUCGAAGGAUUCGCGUCCUUCAGCCACGAAAGUCCGGGUGGGCCCA
rnacentral:tRNA from 1 species